CAUAUGUGAUUCCUACGGGAGGCAGCAGUGGGGAAUAUUGGACAAUGGGCGCAAGCCUGAUCCAGCCAUGCCGCGUGUGUGAAGAAGGCCUUAUGGUUGUAAAGCACUUUAAGCGAGGAGGAGGCUACUUUAGUUAAUACCUAGAGAUAGUGGACGUUACUCGCAGAAUAAGCACCGGCUAACUCUGUGCCAGCAGCCGCGGUAAUACAGAGGGUGCAAGCGUUAAUCGGAUUUACCGGGCGUAAAGCGCGCGUAGGCGGCUAAUUAAGUCAAAUGUGAAAUCCCCGAGCUUAACUUGGGAAUUGCAUUCGAUACUGGUUAGCUAGAGUGUGGGAGAGGAUGGUAGAAUUCCAGGUGUAGCGGUGAAAUGCGUAGAGAUCUGGAGGAAUACCGAUGGCGAAGGCAGCCAUCUGGCCUAACACUGACGCUGAGGUGCGAAAGCAUGGGGAGCAAACAGGAUUAGAUACCCUGGUAGUCCAUGCCGUAAACGAUGUCUACUAGCCGUUGGGGCCUUUGAGGCUUUAGUGGCGCAGCUAACGCGAUAAGUAGACCGCCUGGGGAGUACGGUCGCAAGACUAAAACUCAAAUGAAUUGACGGGGGCCCGCACAAGCGGUGGAGCAUGUGGUUUAAUUCGAUGCAACGCGAAGAACCUUACCUGGCCUUGACAUAGUAAGAACUUUCCAGAGAUGGAUUGGUGCCUUCGGGAACUUACAUACAGGUGCUGCAUGGCUGUCGUCAGCUCGUGUCGUGAGAUGUUGGGUUAAGUCCCGCAACGAGCGCAACCCUUUUCCUUAUUUGCCAGCGAGUAAUGUCGGGAACUUUAAGGAUACUGUCAGUGACAAACUGGAGGAAGGCGGGGACGACGUCAAGUCAUCAUGGCCCUUACGGCCAGGGCUACACACGUGCUACAAUGGUCGGUACAAAGGGUUGCUACCUAGCGAUAGGAUGCUAAUCUCAAAAAGCCGAUCGUAGUCCGGAUUGGAGUCUGCAACUCGACUCCAUGAAGUCGGAAUCGCUAUGCUAUUAGCGGAUCAGAAUGCCGCGGUGAAUACGUCCCGGGCCUUAUACACACCGAUCGUGCCCCCGUU
rnacentral:rRNA from 1 species